GCCUGGGUGGCUCAGUCGGUUGAGCGUCUGACUUCAGCUCAGGUCAUGAUCUCACGGUCUGUGAGUUCUAGCCCCGCGUUGGGCU
rnacentral:tRNA from 1 species